ACGAACGCUGGCGGCGUGCUUAACACCUGCCAGUCGAACGAAGAGCGAUGGAAGCUUGCUUCUAUCAAUCUUAGUGGCGAACGGGUGAGUAACGCGUAAUCAACCUGCCCUUCAGAGGGGGACAACAGUUGGAAACGACUGCUAAUACCGCAUACGAUCCAAUCUCGGCAUCGAGGAUGGAUGAAAGGUGGCCUCUAUUUAUAAGCUAUCACUGAAGGAGGGGAUUGCGUCUGAUUAGCUAGUUGGAGGGGUAACGGCCCACCAAGGCGAUGAUCAGUAGCCGGUCUGAGAGGAUGAACGGCCACAUUGGGACUGAGACACGGCCCAGACUCCUACGGGAGGCAGCAGUGGGGAAUCUUCCGCAAUGGACGAAAGUCUGACGGAGCAACGCCGCGUGAGUGAUGACGGCCUUCGGGUUGGAAAGCUCUGUUAAUCGGGACGAAAGGUCCUCUUGCGAAUAGUUAGAGGAAUUGACGGUACCGGAAGAGAAAGCCACGGCUAACUACGUG
rnacentral:rRNA from 1 species